AGCGAACGCUGGCGGCAGGCUUAACACAUGCAAGUCGAGCGGGCAUCCUUGUGGUGUCAGCGGCAGACGGGUGAGUAACGCGUGGGAACGUGCCCUUCGGUUCGGAAUAACUCAGGGAAACUUGCGCUAAUACCGGAUACGUGCGAGAGCAGAAAGGUUUAUCUGCCGAAGGAUCGGCCCGCGUCUGAUUAGCUAGUUGGUGAGGUUAUGGCUCACCAAGGCGACGAUCAGUAGCUGGUCUGAGAGGAUGGUCAGCCACACUGGGACUGAGACACGGCCCAGACUCCUACGGGAGGCAGCAGUGGGGAAUAUUGGACAGUGGGGGCAACCCUGAUCCAGCCAUGCCGCGUGAGUGAUGACGGCCGUAGGGUUGUAAAGCUCUUUUCUCCGGGACGAUAAUGACGGUACCGGAGGAAUAAGCCCCGGCUAACUUCGUG
rnacentral:rRNA from 1 species